rnacentral:rRNA from 1 species
GCAUGCUUAAUACAUGCAAGUCGCGCGAGAAAGUUGCUUCGGGGUGCGAGUAGAGCGGCGAACGGGUGAGUAACACGUAAGGAAUCCUGCCCCUAAAUCCGGGAUAACCUUGCCAACGCGGGGCUAAUACCGGGUGUGGUCCCGAGAUCGCAUGUGCUCGGGAUUAAAGGUGACCUCUCCUUGGAAGUUACCGUCUAGGGAUGGUCUUGCGGCCCAUUAGCUUGUUGGCGGGGUCACGGCCCAGCAAGGCUGCGAUGGGUAGCCGGCCUGAGAGGGUGAUCGGUCACAUUGGGACUGAGAUACGGCCCAGACUCCUACGGGAGGCAGCAGUAAGGAAUUUUGCGCAAUGGACGAAAGUCUGACGCAGCAAUGCCGCGUGAGUGAUGAAGGCCUUCGAGUCGUAAAGCUCUGUUGAGUGGGAAGAAACGUUCGGCGGUUAAUACCCGUCGAGCCUGACGGUACCACUCGAGGAAUCCCCGGCUAACUACGUGCCAGCAGCCGCGGUAAUACGUAGGGGGCAAGCGUUGUUCGGAAUUACUGGGCGUAAAGGGAGCGUAGGUGGGAAAGUGAGUUAGGAGUGUAAUACGCAGGCUUAACCUGCGGCUCGCUUCUAAUACUGCUUCUCUUGAGUAUGGUACACGGACCACCGAAUACCAGGUUGUACCGGCUGGAAUGCCCUAAAUACUCUGGAAGACCAUCAGUUGCGAAGGCCAGACCUCCUGGCCCAAUACUGAC